rnacentral:lncRNA from 1 species
UUUGCUUAUGUCUAAGUAGGGAGCAUUAUUGAAUAAAUUUGGUUUUGGAAUCUAAAGUUGGGGAGAGUAAAGUAAAAAGAGUUUACUAGAAACUUGGAAAAGUGAUGUUUUAUAAAAGGGUGAAAGUAUGAAAAGAAACAAUAAAAAGAAAUCACCCAUGAAACUAUAGAGAAAAGAAAAAGAAAAGAAAGAAAAAACAAAGAAAAAGCUCAUGGUUGUGUG